UAGAGCUGGCAGUUAGUGUACGCGCGGCACACACACACACACACACACACACACACACACACACACACACACCAGUGUUUUCCCCUCAAGUGAGGCAGCGUUAGCAACUGCAGUCCCAGCUUCCUCUGCUGAGGUACAAGCGGCCACUGCCUGAUUUGUUGGAGGAGCGCUAGAGUCCAGUAUCUGAGGGACCCGGCAACACGCAGCUGUCACAGCUAGUGGCAGACAGCCACUUCUUCCCAGCUGCUUCGCCAGCCCUGGCAAGAGGGCACACUCUUCCAAAAGCCAGCCUGCCUGGGGAGGAGGUUGCUCCACACUGAAGAGGCCACCUGGUGGUAACUAUAAGAGCACAAUCCUUCUAUACUGAUCUUGGUGUAAGUCCUGUGCCUGUAAUUUAUUAACAUUCUGACCCUGGUACUGGAAGCAGUAGCCAUGUUAUGUUCUGUGAACAACAAGGUGGAGCAGGGCUGGUCUGGAUGAAAUGGCUUGGAGCACCUCAGUUCACAUGCCUCUGGUGAUCUGCUUAUUUACUCAGCUCAUAAGUAACAGAGCAAUAACAUAUGUCCUUCUCUCCAUUUGAGAUGCUUUUGGCCAUUGCUCUGACUGCUUCAUCCUCAUGUUUUAAGGCUCAGUUUAGUCUUCAUUGUAUCUCUAAGGCCUUUCUUGAUCUCCAACAAAAUAAUCAUGUCCAUGUCAAAUAUAG
rnacentral:lncRNA from 10 species